CAGGCCGGUCUUCUGACUUGGCGUCAUCCGUCUGCCGCAGCCUUCCCGGCAAAAGCCAGUGGCAUAGUAAAGCGGCGGGCGUCGGCCUUACAGCGUUGGGCACGUUCCGGUCUUGCACCGGAUUCCCGAUUCUCCCGCCUGAA
rnacentral:sRNA from 1 species